ACCCCGGCGCCGCCCAGCAGGAAGGCGGCGCGGGUGUCGGCGUCGGCCUCGCCGCAUCCCUCCUGGUAGCGCAGGCAGGCGUCCACGACGCGGCGGGCGGCCCGCAGGUUGAGCUGCCCUGUUCUGUAUGGACUCCACUUACAAAGCUACACCAAAAGGUUUCCACCAUGCUGUUUGUAAAGCCAGCCCUUCAAGUGCCACAGCAUUGUUUUCAUCAUUUCUGCAAAGAAGAGGCUCAACAGUACUUUUUAGAAUCACAACUAGUUCAGAAGGGUUUACCUGCAUUUGCUGCCUUCUCUUGCUGCUCUGUUCCCUUGUGUCAGAGCCAAAUUAUGAAGCAAAGCCAUCAGCUCUCCAAGCCAGGCUCUGAUACCCAGUUGGAUGAGAAGCCUCUCCUCCGAAAGGGGUGCUGGGCUCAGUCAAUAGUCACUGCAGUAGAAGCUUUGUGCUUGGAGUGCAGCUGCUGAUGCUGGCAGGGCUGGACUGGUGCCUCUCUGGAUGCCCCACAUUUGGGUGUUUGUUAUUCACUGCACAGUGACUUUCACAGAUGUCAGUGUUUGUUACCUGCUGGGGAGAAAU